rfam:Gossypium hirsutum cultivar TM-1 chromosome 19, whole genome shotgun sequence
CACAUCAGCGCGAUUUGCUGACGUGGCAGCAAAUCGCAUCCACGUAAGCGCGCUUUGUGGUCAUGUCAGCAAAGCGCGCUGACGUAG